rnacentral:rRNA from 1 species
UGCCAGCCGCCGCGGUAAUACGGAGGAUCCAAGCGUUAUCCGGAAUUAUUGGGUUUAAAGGGUCCGCAGGCUGUUUGUUAAGUCAGAGGUGAAAUCCUACCGCUCAACGGUAGAACUGCCUUUGAUACUGGCAAACUUGAGUUAUUGUGAAGUAAUUAGAAUGUGUAGUGUAGCGGUGAAAUGCGUAGAUAUUUGAAGGAACACCAAUGGCGAAGGCAGCUAUCUGGAAUAAUACUGACGCUGAGGUACGAAAGCGUGGGGAGCAAACAGGAUUAGAUA